rnacentral:rRNA from 1 species
UACGGAGGGUGCAAGCGUUAUCCGGAUUCACUGGGUUUAAAGGGUGCGUAGGCGGGCAGGUAAGUCCGUGGUGAAAUCCCCGAGCUUAACUCGGGAACUGCCGUGGAUACUAUCUGUCUUGAAUAUUGUGGAGGUUAGCGGAAUAUGUCAUGUAGCGGUGAAAUGCUUAGAUAUGACAUAGAACACCAAUUGCGAAGGCAGCUAGCUACACAGUUAUUGACGCUGAGGCACGAAAGCGUGGGGAUCAAACAGG